rnacentral:lncRNA from 1 species
UCUGCAGAUACAGUAUAAAGCCAAGCAAGGUGUGGAGAGAGAUUUUGCUUAGUUGAAGCCAGUUGAAGUGAAGAUACAGUAUAAAGCCAAGCAAGGUGUGGAGAGAGAUUUUGCUUAGUUGAAGCCAGUUGAAGUGAAGAUCCUUGAAGUUGAAGUUGGUUGAAGCAGAGGUGUGAGUGAUAGCCAGCAAGAACACAAAUAAACAGCAAGGACGAGUGUUGGAUUGUCUGUGUUGGAGUUACUGGAAGGAGGUAGUGGUGUUUAAGUAAGUAUUAGGGGACUUGAGUUGAAAGUGUUCAGCCUAUGGUCAUGGUAGUAACUGUUCAAAAAGGAUUAAUUAUGUUAUGCCAUGUAGUGGCACUGAUUUAAUCUUACCUAUGUUUUGACUUUAUCUUACCUAUGUUUUGACUUUAAGGUCAGUUGAGCUGAUUCUAUAGGAAGGCACAAAAUGAACAAUUGUCAAAGCAAAUACUAUGAUUAUGAUUGCACAUGCAGCAAUUAAAAAAAAAUGAGAUUACAUUGUGAAAUAAGCCUACAAUGAGAUCAAAUAAAUCUGUUGGCAUAUAGGGUGAAAAAGUUUUAAACCAUGGGAUUGUUUAAGGCCAAAAUUUGGAUGAUAUAGUCAUUCAUUGGAAACCUCCAUGUUGUGUUGAGAUCAUGGGUCAAUUAUAUAGGUCAAAGUUUAAAUUAGGUCAAAUGUUAUGGCAUACCUGCAGGACUAAAGAAUAAAAAACAUUUUACACAUUGAAAAUCCUUAUUUGUCAAACCUGUAUUGCACAUUCUGUGUAUACCUCUGUCCGAAUAGGGGAAAGUGGUUAGACUUUUGUGACAAUUAAUCUUGUAACUUUUAUAUCCUGUCCAAAAUGAUUUUUACUAAAAUGAUUACUUGGUAUUCUGCUAUUAGCCAUAAUGGCUGGAAUUCACAAAGGUGGUUUAGAUUUAGACCACGGUUUAUGCUUUUUAUGGCUAUAUUACAUUGCGCUGUUUACAUUUUUAAUGUGCAAUAGUACCUGUGUUUUCAAGAUCUUCACACUUGGUACAAAAAUAAGGAAGAAUAGUUUUUGGUGUUAUAUAUCAAGGUUAUGUUUACAUAGACAUUUUCUGCUUGACAAGUCAAAUAAUUAUAUUGAGGGCUACGGCAAUACUGUGGUUCAUGGGAAGAAGGAGGCAUACCAGUAGACUGCACACAGUCGAAUCAAAUGAAACAUGUCUCAGCCAUCAUAUUAAGCCCAUCAAUUGUAGACUCUUCCAUUGGGUGUUGCCAAAAUUUGAAUAGAAUCCAUCAAACAUGUAAGGAGUUGGUCAAGAUGAAGAAAAAAAGGGGGGGGGGGUGUUAAACACAUAGUGCAAACAUGCACAAAUAUCUUGAUUUUAGUCUAAUACAAUACAUAUUGUACAUGUGACCUUGCCUAAGUCGAACUUGGAUAAGUCAAAACUUGCCAAAGUCGAAGGUCUACACAGAGCCCAACCUGUUUUGUCCUAUUGUUUUAUGACCCUCGGUCUCUCAGAAAGCUAUUUUAUGGAUCCCAAGAGAUUUUAGUUACUGUAUGUAAGGUUGAUUAUGUAUUCAAUUUUCUGUCUCUGUUCUUUUGGCAGGUACUGGUUGCUUUGGAAGGCAAUUUGUGUUUGUGUUGUUAUUUAUCAAAUCAUCUUCAUUUUUCAAAACAUUACAUACCAUACCAUUCCAUCUUCACCCUCAGAACUCGUGAUCUUGAGUUUUUGAGAAAAGCAGUACUCAUUCAGAAGUUCAUUUGAAGUUUCAUCCAGAAUCCCAUUCCCAUUCUAUCAUAUUCAAAACAUUACAUACCAUACCAUUCCAUCUUCACCCUCGGAACUCGUUAUCUGAGUUUUUGAGAAAAGCAGUACUCAUUCAGAAGUUCAUUUGAAAUUUCAUCCAGAAUCCCAUCCUAAAGUCUGUUUAUUGGCAACUCACGACAAUAAGCCUCUAGCACUUAUAAGCUAGUCGGUGAGUCAAGAAGAGUUGUGGUAGACAGCAAGAGAAAGUCUGUUUAUUGGCAACUCACGACAAUAAGCCUCUAGCACUCAUACAUAAGCUAGUCGGUGAGUCAAGAAGAGUUGUGAUAGAUAGCAAGAGAAAGUCUGUUUAUUGGCAACUCAUGACAAUAAGCCUCUAGCACUUAAGAAGCUAGUUGGUGAGUUAAAGAAGAGUUGUGAUAGAUAGCAAGAAUCACAUUGAACCACAAUUAUUCUAUUGAAACCUGAGAAACCUUGAAUCAAGAGCUAUUCUUAUCACAGAAGUGAUUCUUAUAACUUUUUUUCUGAAUCUAUUCUAAGCUGUCUGAACUUUUCUAAUUACAGAAGUAAUUCCUACAAGACAGAGGUCUUGAUCUUUUGCUACAGAAGUAGCCCUACUUUCUUGUGAUACUUUAUUUCUGAAUCUACUCUAUCUUACUGAACUUCACAAAUCUUCUCCUAUUUUACAAGCUUUCUAAAUAUAUUCUUUAUCACAGAAGUGAUUCCUACAAGAUUUCUGAAUCUAUUUUAUUCUAAGCUGUCUAAACUUUUCUUACCUAUUCCUAUUACUGAAAAAAGUGAGCUUGAUUGAGUGUAAAGUGAAUAAAGCAGAAUUGAUUGAAGAGAGUUUGGAGCUGAAUAUAUAGAAAUAAACGUAAGAUUGAUUGAUUGUAAAGUGCAUAAGCUGAAGUGAUUGCAGAGAGAACAGAGUUUGGAGAAAAGACAGAAAUAUAUGUGUGAUUGAUUUAAUUGCAAAGACAAUAAGAGUUGUAAAAGUAUAAGUGAGCCUAAGUGAUUGCAGAGAGUAAGACAAGAGCUUUGGUCAGGAUAUUCUGAGAUUGAGACAUACAAGUGAGGUUGAUUGCAGAGAAAGAAGUUUUGGUCAGGAUAUUUAGAGAUUGAGACAUACAAGUGAGGUCGAUCUAUUGCAGAGAAAGAAGUUUUGGUCAGGAUAUUUAGAGAUUGAGACAUACAAGUGAUAUUGAUUGCAGAGAAAGAAGUUCUGGUCAGGAUAUUUAGAGAUUGAGACAUACAAGUGAGGUCGAUCUAUUGCAGAGAAAGAAGUUUUGGUCAGGAUAUUUAGAGAUUGAGACAUACAAGUGAUAUUGAUUGCAGAGAAAGAAGUUCUGGUCAGGAUAUUUAGAGAUUGAGACAUACAAGUGAGGUUGAUUGCAGAGAAAGAAGUUCUGGUCAGGAUAUUUAGAGAUUGAGACAUACAAGUGAGGUUGAUUUUUCUUUAUUAUGGAAUUUGAAGGUGAUCAAUUCAAGGAAGUGAUACAAGAGAUUGUAGAUAUGCUAUGGAGUUGUGCAUCAGUUCUCGAUCCGCAGAAUGAAGAAUGUUGCGUAUGUAGGAAUACAAUUGAAGAAAGUGAAAACCAAGCUACUUGUGAGAGCUGCAAUGAAUAUUAUCAUGUGACAUGUAUGGGUUUUUUGUGUCAAGAUCGAGUGAAUGAGCGGAGAUUAAUCUGGAUUUGUUCAUCUUGUGGUAAUAACAACAUUGCGCAUCGACUGUUUGAUAAAGUAUGUAUCCCCUCUCAUUUGAAUAGAUACCAGCCUCUUGAGACAGUAGAUGAAGAAUUUGAUGAUGAUGUGCCCCUCUUACCCAAGCAAGAUGGCACACAAAAGAAAUCCAAAUCAAAGAAAAGGUAUUUUAAGAAAUGCAAGAAAAUCAAUAUAGAGCCAGGAAAUCAUAGUGAGUUUGACACACGUGAACAUGAUCCUGUAGUCACUCAAAGAGAUUCCCCCAAACAACGUGAUAAAGUGCAUAGUGAAGAAGUAGAUAGUAGUGAAUGGAUGAAGGUGAAAACAAAGAAGGCAAGGAUGUUGGAAAAGAUGCAAGAAAGAAUAUCGCAAUUAACAGCAAAAAGUGACAGUGGAACAGGUCAGGAAAAGAGAAUCAUAAAUGGUGUUGUUCUAGAACCUGGUGUAACAUACAUUGGCAAAGCAAUGAAAUCUUUCUAUGAAAGACGGAAAAGUAGAAAAUCAAAACGCAAAGUAGACAUCAAACUAAACAGAGAUGUAGAAUGUCGGAAAGUAAAGGAUAAUAGUGUUCAAAUGUACACAGAAACAUUGCUAGAUGAAUAUGCAAAGUGUGUGCAGUCACCACAGUCGAUGAUGUACCAUGAAACGCACCUCUACAAACAAAACAACGUGAAGGAGGAACAAUCUUGGGCUGAUGUAGUAGGCCAUGUACAAAAUGAAACAACACAGACAAAAUCUAUUGUUGGCAGUGUGACAUAUAGUCAUGUUUCUUUGAAACAAUCCAAGGGCAAAGAACAGAGCACAUUCAGAGUAUGUGGUGGUGCAAAACACUCACAAAAACCUGAAGUAGGAAACAAGAAAGUCCGUGUUCUAAAGGGCAACAAAACAUCUUGUGGAAAGUCAGUUGAUUCUAAAGUAUUGAAAAUGGAAGUAUUGAACGAUAAAGGAAAAGGAUGUGACGGAAAGACUAAAAGCGUGGGUGAAGUAAAGGUAGAUAAAGGCAAUAGUACUACUGUAAUCGAGGAGAAAUUGUGUGGCAGUGAUAAAGACAUGACAGAAAUACAGUCCAAAGCAGCAGAAAAUGGUCAGGUCAUUAAUACUUUUGAGGUUGGUAACCAAGUCACUUACAAAACAAGCAGUGAGCAUGAUGAUGAAUGUGCAAAUGAUCAAUUUGUCAAGUCACAGAAGUUUAUUCCUAAGAAAAUGUUUGGAAUGGAACAUGACAGUAAAUUCCAUAAACAGUCAGUCAACACGUCUAAUGUAAAUUUAGAAGAGAAGCAAAUCCCAAAUGAAAACAUAUCAAAUAUGGAACAAAAUACACUUGUGAAAUGUGUUGCCAUGGGCAAUUUUCAUCAAGGAAAUGCUAGAUUUGGAUUUUAUUCUGGAAAGCAAUGUGUUUCUAACAGUUUUGCUGCUAUUUUAUACAGUAAAAUUACAGAUGUUUCCCAAUGGCAAAAACAAGAUCUUGACAAGGUAUUGAUUUAUGGUAAUGAGUUGUAUAAAUUUAUUCAGCUUAGUUCUGCAAUAAAUGAUAAUUUCUUGUUGAUAUCUGAAUUACCUGAUCAAUUAGAAGCUUUUGAUGUCCAUUAUAAAAUGCAAUGUUCUCAGAGUGUUAUGGGUACAAUUUGUGGAGAUGAUUUUUUUUUGAUUAAUUUUAAUGCAGUAACAUUGAAAGAUGCUCUCCAUCAGGAAUUGGAUAGACAUGAUGCAUGCUUUUGUACAUUUGGUGGCCAAACAUUUGCAAUCAUAUCCACACGAAAACAAUAUUUUAUUUUUGAUUCACAUUCUAGAGACAGGCAUGGACUUAUGACAGAUGAUGGGACCAGUGUCGUUCUAUGUACAUCAAACUGGAAAGGGAAGGAAGUUAAUCACAACAUUCUGAGGCAGACAUGUAUCCAACAUUUGCUGCAAAACUCACAUAUAUUUGCUGGUUGUUUAAGGUCAACCAACUUAUCAUGAUGUCAGAAGUGUACGAGUGACCCUUGGAAGUUGUUUAUCGCCCUCCGACAUACAGAAUAAAAGACUUCUCAGCGACACUUCUGCCCCAGAGAUCACGUUCUGUCUCAGUAACGUCUUCGUCUAGGCUGCGGCGGGUGCCAGCACUGCCACAGCCUCCUGGGACGUCUCUACAACUAUGGACGCCUCAGAACCCAUCACAGCAGUCAGCAACUACUCGCCUGGUGAUUCCUUUGAUGUUGGCACUUAUCUGGUCAUAACGCUGGUUUCUACUCAACAUGCAGCUUUGAGGUCACUGUCACUUCAAGUGGAGUGGUCAUCGACAGAAAGAACCCCAUCCUGACCGGCUGUCUGACCGACAUCGUUGCCAAUGCCGGCCCUGGUACCUCGACCACGAUGGUUUCAUGGCUGGCUCCUGUGGCAUCAGACAACUCUGACUCCGCUACCCCGACGGUCAACCGACCACUAGGCAGUUCUUCCCUGUUGGAUCUACUGAGGUCACUUACACAGCUACCAACCCCACUGGGAACUUUGUCACGUGCAGUUUCGACUUCAAUGUCUUGUCUACCGAUGACAACACAGCCCCAGUCCUGUCGAACUGCCUUUCAGACCAAACCGUGUUCGCCUCUCAAAACGCCCAAGGUGCUGUAGCUACGUGGUCAGCACUGACUGCUACUGAUAACUCUGAUGACGUCAUGUCGAUCACAAGUGACUUCAGCUCCGGAACCCUUAUCCCGGUUGGCGUGACCACUGUGACCUUCACUGCUACGGACAGCUCUGGCAACAUGGACACUGUGAUUUCUCUGUUUCAGUCUUAGUUGGUGCCAACCCUUGUUCCAGCAACCCAUGCGCUCCCAGUGAACAGUGCUUCUACAUCCCAUCCCGAUACCUGUGUAUCAACAACGGCAGGAGGAGGAGAGAAGCUGAGAUGCUUGACCUUAGCUAUAUCUGCCUUUGCCAGAAUGGCGGUAUGUGUCUCCUAGACGACGCCACAUCCUCGGCCACCUGUGAAUGCCCCGUUGGAUACGCUGGUGUGCUCUGUGAGAUGGAUAUAAUGCCUGCUGCAUGGCGAUUAUGCUCGUCGUCAUCAUCUCUCUAUCUGGGUUGCCUUGUUACAUCAUACCGCGCCUCGGCAUGGUUCGUUGACAUCGAAGCAAGAUAGAUGAAAUUCCAAUCCUUCAAUAAACAGAACACUGCUCACAAGCUCAUUUAAAUCUAAUCUAAGCUUAUUGCAUUCAUGCCUUUGCUAGAAAGAUCCAUUGUGUAAUCCCAAUGGUAAGUUAUGAGAAUUGAAAUAUUGAAAUGUACAUGCGAGGAGAUAUCUAUUUCUAUGCAAAACAUGAAUUCAAAUGGCUGGUAAUUAGAUUUCUCAAAAGGGAAAAAUCUUGUGGCCAUUAGGCAAUGUUUGUUGAAGAAUGUCUUCUAACCAUUAUGUAUUAAUUGUGCUACAAAUGUCUGUAAAUACUGUGUACGCUUAAUGGUACAUUCUUAGUUGCAUAAUUUCACGUUGAUGUAAGACGUAGUCAAAGGCCGAAACAUGGAGGAGGUGUUGUUUUCAAUGUGCUGAUUGGGUGUCAAUGCGAUUUUUUGUUUAUGUCCCAUGAAACUAUUUGUUAAUAUGUUAUGUUACUUCUCUGAGAUUACCCUAAGAAUAUUCUCUCUGUGUGAACACUUACUAGCCUUUCUCUCUGAAAUUCAUCUAGAAAUGCUGUGUUUGUAAUGUUUUUGUCACGACAGAACUGAUCAUUUGUCGAUUUUUCUUCUUCAAACUAAUUGUUGACGGCUCAGACUUUAAUGCCAACUGAAAAAUAUGGCUAUGUUUAGGUUGUUUUGUUGGAAAGGAGUAAUGUUUGGAAGUAUUUUUGACUUUAUUUCGCUUCAGGUAUGCUUUUGUGUGGUUUAAAUCCCUGACUACGGUACUUUAUUUCAAUCUCAAAGUAUUUCAAACACCAAAGCAUUUCAGAAAUGCCAAAUAUAUCAUGUUUUAUAUUGCAUUCACUUAUAUAUAUUGCAGAAUUUUUAUAUUAAAUUACAUCAAUUCUG